UUUCACAGUCUUCAUGUGGUCUGUUAUUUAGCUGAAAAAAAAAUGAGAGUUUAAGUUUUUAUGGAAGAAAGAGUAGUUUUCUGGUGUAGGAUCAAGGUAAAAAUCUCUAGAAACAGUUGCCCAAGCACUUCCCAAAUUAACACCAUUAAUUUUCACCUCCAGUUGCAACUAACAUUAUAUUUCCAUAUCAUGAGGUUAAAAUGCCUGGAAUAUAUUUAUAAAGCAUAUAGCUAAUGCUGGGCAUAGUGGUACAUGCCCAUAAUCCCAGCAACUCAGAAGACUGAGGCAGGAAGAUGCAAAUUAGAGGCCAGCCUCAACAAUUUAGCAAGACUCUAAGCAAUUUAGUGAGACACUAUCUCAAAACACAAAUUAAGAAGGGCUGGGAUGUGGUUCAGUGGUCAAGUGCUCUGGGUUUAAAUCCCUGGUACCAAACACACACACACACACACACACAAAAAAAAAAAAACAUAUAUCAUUCAAUGAAAGAAAAUAAGUAUGAAAUAAUUUUCUUGGCAAAAAAAAUCUUUGCACAAUUUUUAGGAUAUAUUAUCUAUAUGGGAUAAAAUGUUGAAAAAUUCAUAUACAUAUAUCUCAUAUAUAUCUUUCUUCCUGAGGCAAAAUGAUCAUUCGGGGAGUAGAAUUCCAAUGGAAACUUUGGAAUUGAAUAUAUUUGACAUCAUAUAUUUAUAAUUCAUGACAUUUUUAGAGGAGUCUGCUGUAUGACAUAUUUUAGAGGCAGUGAGAAUCAGGAGCUCUAAGGCCUGAGAUAAGAAACAAUUUCUUCUUUUGGGAGAGGUAUAUGAAAUUCUCCUGAAUUGAAUAAUAAAGAGCUAGAAACCUUGAAAGAUACAGAGAAAACUUUAGGCAGGUUUCACUAGAAUUCAGUGCUUUGGACCCUUGAAAAUCAGACAUUUCCUCACAAUAUGGCCUCCAACCACUUGAAUUCAUU
rnacentral:lncRNA from 1 species